rnacentral:tRNA from 1 species
CCUGAUAGCUCAGUUGGUAAAGAAUCUGUCUGCAAUGCAGGAGACCCUGGUUUGAUUCCUGGGUCAGGA